ACGGGAGGCAGCAGUGGGGGAUAUUGCGCAAUGGGGGAAACCCUGACGCAGCAACGCCGCGUGAAGGAAGAAGGUUUUCGGAUUGUAAACUUCUGUUCUUAGGGAAGAAAAAAAUGACGGUACCUAAGGAGCAAGCCACGGCUAACUACGUGCCAGCAGCCGCGGUAAUACGUAGGUGGCAAGCGUUGUCCGGAUUUACUGGGUGUAAAGGGCGCGUAGGCGGGUAUGCAAGUCAGUCGUGAAAUACCGAGGCUCAACUUCGGGGCUGCGAUUGAAACUGCAAAUCUUGAGUAUCGGAGAGGAAAGCGGAAUUCCUAGUGUAGCGGUGAAAUGCGUAGAUAUUAGGAGGAACACCAGUGGCGAAGGCGGCUUUCUGGACGACAACUGACGCUGAGGCGCGAAAGUGUGGGGAGCAAACAGGAUUAGAUACCCUGGUA
rnacentral:rRNA from 2 species